UCACUCAGAUCCCUCUUGUUGCAAGAUCACUUAGUACUCUCCUAGGGUGAUGAAUACUACUUUCCNUGUUCUCUAAUGUAAAAACACUCAGAUCNCUCUUGUUGCGNCUAUCUAAGCUUGACACACCUCACCCAAUCCCUUGGCAUAAGCAUGUAUCAAAACUUGCAUUAAGAACCAGAACAGUGGGGUCCAAAUACACAAUCACGUCGUCUGUCACUCGGGUGACUAGUAAUAUCUGGGUUAAUUUAGCUAGUUCGGCUGCUGAAACCCCAUCCCUGGGCAUCCCAACAACUAGAUCAUGCUCUAAGGCGUACCCCGAAACAAGCUUUAAGCACAAACCAAACCAGUGGAAAGUAUAAACAUCUGAAGGCAAACUACAUAAAAGAAACACAAACAAAAC
rnacentral:lncRNA from 1 species